rnacentral:rRNA from 1 species
GCUUGUCUCAAAGAUUAAGCCAUGCACGUCUAAGUAUAAAUAUUUCACUUUGAAACUGCGAAUGGCUCAUUAUAUCAGUUAUAGUUUAUUUGAUAGUCCCUUACUAUUUGGAUAACCGUAGUAAUUCUAGAGCUAAUACAUGCGUCAAUGCCCGACUUUGGAAGGGCUGUGUUUAUUAGAUCCAAAACCAAUGCGGGGCAACCCGGUUACUGGUGAUUCAUAAUAACCUAUCGGACCGAAUGGCCUUGCGCCGUCGGUGCAUCAUUCAAAUUUCUGCCCUAUCAAUUUGUUGGUAGUAUAUAGGACUACCAAGAUGAUUACGGGUAACGGAGAAUUAGGGUUUGAUUCCGGAGAGGGAGCCUGAGAAACGGCUACCACAUCUAAGGAAGGCAGCAGG